GGGUAAGUCUGGGACUGCCGUUCGGGCCUACCCAGCAGGUAAGUCUUAGGCCAUCGCCUGCGGUGUCGGCCCCGGGAGCAGCGAGACCCAAGAUUGCAUCAAACGUUUGCCCCGUCUCUGCAUAUGUGACUGGACGUGAAUGAUGCUUCAUUUUGGCACCCCCUUUCCCUGCUCAGGUAGAAUGUAAACAAUUGAAAAAAAUCCCUUCCCAAUCAGAAUACCACCCACAGGACAACGAAGAAAACCUAUCUUCAGUCCCCACCCACGAAAUGCUGGGGGGUGGGGAGGACUGGAAAAGGAGUAAGGGGAGAGGAAGGGUGAGCAGCUGCAAGAAGUCUUUACACCUCUCUGCGGUUCCUGGUAAACGCGCUCAUGUCCUGGGUAUGGAAGGGACUUAAGAAUUCAGGAAAGAUCAAAAUAACGGGCCUCUUCCCCACUCCCUCGCCCUCCCUUCCCCGCUGCUGGGGGGUUAGGGAGGCUCCGUGGAGCUCCAGCACUCUAGAAGGAUCGGGUGAGGCGCGAGGCCUUGCGGGCGGGUGAACCCAAGGUGGGGUGGAAGGCUCCAACCCGCCCAAUCUGAGCCCGAGGCCUGCUGAGAAGCAUGGGGGCCUUGGGAUAGUUCCAGAAUGAGGAUGUGCGUUUCUAGCUGCUUUGCGCCCUCCUCCCCCAAAAAUCUGCUACCACAAUUCCAACCCGGCGGCACGCCCCCAAGACUCCUUUGUCGCCCCAGGGGCGGGACCUGAGCUGUCGAUUUCAGGAGCCCUUCGUGACUUCAAAAGUCCUGGGCACUGUUGCUCAUGAGUGCUGCACAACUGUCGCCCUCUAAAGCCACCUCCAUCCCUCACUGGGCUGGCCUCCUGAGCCUUCGAAGGAAGCCCGGUGCCAGCCAGCCUUCCUGAAAGACCAAGCCCGCGCCAUCCGGCUUCCUCCAGUGGACGCCUGCAGGACCCAGGUGAGACACGGAACCGGUUGGGGACGCGAGCCAGGGAUCCUGACCGGUUGGGGGCGGCGAGCAAGGGAUCCUGACUUGGGGGCGUUGCCUCCCGGAAUCCAAGCGGCCUUUUGCCCGGGUCUCCCGAGAUGCAUCGAAAUUGAGCUCGUCCACACAGCCCCCUGACUGCGUGAUGCCCUUUUCUGACUUAAAACAUUCCUUGUACCUUUAUUUACACGAUCCAAGUUGCAGUGUGCCUAGAUUUUCCUCCAAGGACAAAAAUGUGAAUAAAGCAAUAUUUUAGCCAAA
rnacentral:lncRNA from 1 species